rnacentral:sRNA from 1 species
GGAAAAGAUUAUUCUAGUAGUGUGGUAGCGUAUGAGGCAGAUGGUGUAACCAUUCAGCUAAUAGCACCUCAUACGCAAGACAGGCUCCCUCGGGGGCCUUUUUUAUUAUC